GCUAGGCACAGUGGUGCACAUCUGUAGUCCCAGAUACUCGGGAGGCUGAGGCAGGAGGAUUGCCCAAGCCCAGACAUUCUAAGCUAUAGUGCGCUAUGCAAAUCAGAUAUUCAUACUAAGUUUGGCAUGAAUAUGACUGGCAAUCUCCAGGGAAUAGGGGAACCACCGGUUUGCCUAAGGAGGGGCGAACUGGUCAAAGUCAGAAAUGGAGCAGGUCAAAACUCUCAUGUUAAUCAGUAGUAGGAUGAUGCCUGUGAAUAGCCACUGUACUCCAGCUUGGGCAACAGAGUGAGACUCCCUCUCU
rnacentral:SRP_RNA from 1 species